UCAUCCACCCACGAAACCCUAGCUCCCUUAUCCCCUUCGGCGCUGCCGCUCCCGCUCCCUUUUCCCCAUCGCCGCCGCCACCUCUGCUUGCUACACCACAGCCACACAGCCAUCCCCAUCCAGAUCCAACCACCGCUGCACAUCGACGAGGCGGCUGGCGGGCGGGGCGCGCCGGCGCGGCCCUCCGUGCGCGCGCACCGGGAGGCCCUCGAGGCGGCGCCGUCGGGGAUCGUCACCGGGCUCGAGCUCGGCCGCCUCAACUCCUCCCGCGCCGGCGGCUCGCUCCGCAAGGUCGCUGCCGAGGCCGCCGCCACCGGGGCCUGCGUCUUCGCCGACCUGUAUGCCCUCGGGGGCGCGUCCCUGCCGGACCCACUAGAUGAGGAGGACAGGGCAAAGUGCCCGCACUCCAUCGUGCUCACCGGCGAUGAGUUCCCUCCAUGGCCAUGGCCUCGGCCUCCCUUCCCCGACCGCCAAGACACCGGCGCGGAGGCUGCUCUCCGCCACCGUUAGGGCCAUGGCACCGGCCAGCCCCAACAAAGGUACUGCGCAGUCGCGGCGGCGGACGGCAAGUUCAUGCCGGUCAUCGACAAGAAGGCUGGAUGCUCCUUCGUGUACCCAUUCGGAUGGCAGGAGGUGUAUGUGCAAGGGCAGGACAAGGUGUAAAAGGACGUGAUCGACCCCGCCGUCCGCGAGUGGACCUCAAGACUGAUGUGUACCUUCAUGAGCUUCCAGACGAACAUGCAAGCAGCUCCGCUGCCAAGCCAUCAGCCCAACCAGAUGGACCUGGCUCUCUUCCAUGACCCGCUGUUGCCUCAGCAGGCCGGGGCGCAGAGCACGAACCCGUUCGCCGACGACAACUUUAAGGGUUACCCUGAGUACAUGAACACCAGCAACCCACAGACGGCAGACGAUCCCUUCCAGCAACAUUUUCCUAAAGCUGUCAGCGUCAAGCCCCUACGACAACUUCCUCAGGGCUGCAGGGUGCUGAGGCGAAUGAGUUUCUGCCCGUAGCAGCAGCAAGUCUAUCGUGUCACGUCUCUACGCAUGGUACCGAAACAGGUGGCAGGCUUGUACGGCAUUGCGAGCAGGAGGGCCAUGAGGGUUUGCUGCUCUGCUCCUAGGGCGACCAAGAGGUCUUGCCCCGAGCUCAAGCACGUCCACGCCGACCCACCACGACAGAUGACCAAGCCCAAGGAGGAAGCAACUGCUCAUCACUGAGGACAAGUAACUCCAGCAGGUUGACGCCGUAGAUUCACAAUGUACCUUCUAUAUGCCCAUCCAGUUCUGUGAUUUGUGUCUUGAAACCCAAAAAACCCCAUGCCCAUGUGGGAGCUGAACCAUAGUUUUUUGCUUGUGGAAAAUAAUAUCCUUGGCUGAAUUGACUUGA